GCCAGUGUGGCAUUUGAGUGUUGGACUAGGACUCUGAAGACCAGGGUUCAAUUCCCAGCUCUGCCA